ACGGGAGGCAGCAGUGGGGAAUAUUGGGCAAUGGGCGAAAGCCUGACCCAGCAACGCCGCGUGAAGGAAGAAGGUCUUCGGAUUGUAAACUUCUUUUAUGAGGGACGAAGGACGUGACGGUACCUCAUGAAUAAGCCACGGCUAACUACGUGCCAGUAGCCGCGGUAAUACGUAGGUGGCAAGCGUUAUCCGGAUUUACUGGGUGUAAAGGGCGCGUAGGCGGGAGAGCAAGUCAGAUGUGAAAUCCGUGGGCUUAACCCAUGAACUGCAUUUGAAACUGUUCUUCUUGAGUGCUGGAGAGGUAGACGGAAUUCCUUGUGUAGCGGUGAAAUGCGUAGAUAUAAGGAAGAACACCAGUGGCGAAGGCGGUCUACUGGACAGUAACUGACGCUGAGGCGCGAAAGCGUGGGGAGCAAACAGGAUUAGAUACCCUGGUA
rnacentral:rRNA from 1 species